rnacentral:rRNA from 1 species
ACGAACGCUGGCGGCGUGCUUAACACAUGCAAGUCGAACGGAAAGGCCCCUUUGGGGGUACUCGAGUGGCGAACGGGUGAGUAACACGUGAGUAACCUGCCCUUGACUUCGGGAUAACUUCAGGAAACUGGGGCUAAUACCGGAUAGGAAUCCUUGCUGCAUGGUGGGGGUUGGAAAGCUUCGGCGGUUUUGGAUGGACUCGCGGCUUAUCAGCUUGUUGGUGGGGUUGUGGCUUACCAAGGCUUUGACGGGUAGCCGGCCUGAGAGGGCGACCGGCCACAUUGGGACUGAGAUACGGCCCAGACUCCUACGGGAGGCAGCAGUGGGGAAUAUUGCACAAUGGGCGGAAGCCUGAUGCAGCAACGCCGCGUGCGGGAUGACGGCCUUCGGGUUGUAAACCGCUUUCAGCAGGGGCGAAGCUUGUGGUGACGGUACCUGCAGAAGAAGCACCGGCUAACUACGUG